rnacentral:rRNA from 1 species
UACGUAGGUGGCAAGCGUUGUCCGGAAUUACUGGGCGUAAAGCGCGCGCAGGUGGAUAUUAAGUUGGGCGUGAAAUCUCCCGGCCUAACUGGGAGGGGUCGCCCAAGACUGGGUGUCUUGAGGACUGCAGAGGUAGGUGGAAUUCCUGGUGUAGCGGUGAAAUGCGUAGAUAUCAGGAGGAACACCGGUGGCGAAGGCGGCUUCUGGACAGAAACUGACGCUGAGGCGCGAAAGCUAGGGGAGCAAACAGG